GCGCCUGUAGCUCAGUUGGAUAGAGCAUCUGCCUUCUAAGCAGGUGGUCGCAGGUUCGAAUCCUGCCAGGCGUGCCA
rnacentral:tRNA from 1 species